GGAGAGAUGGCUGAGUGGUCGAAAGCGACGGUCUUGAAAACCGUUGAGCUACUUGUAGUUCCUAGGGUUCGAAUCCCUAUCUCUCCGCCA
rnacentral:tRNA from 1 species